rnacentral:rRNA from 1 species
UAAGGAGGGAGCGAGCGUUAAUCGGAAUCACUGGGCGUAAAGCGCACGUAGGUGGUUUGUUAAGUCAGGUGUGAAAUCCCCGGGCUCAACCUGGGAAUGGCAUUUGAUACUGGCAAGCUGGAGUCUGGUAGAGGGGGGUGAAAUUCCAGGUGUAGCGGUGAAAUGCGUAGAGAUCUGGAGGAACACCAGUGGCGAAGGCGGCUCCCUGGACCAAGACUGACGCUGAGGUGCGAAAGCGUGGGGAGCAAACAGG